rnacentral:rRNA from 1 species
CACGUAGGAGGCAAACGUUAUCCGGAUUUACUGGGCGUAAAGCGCGUGUAGGUGGUUCUGUAAGUAGGGCGUGAAAGCUCCCGGCUCAACUGGGAGAGGCCGUUCUAUACUGCAGAGCUAGAGGAUGGUAGAGGGAGGUGGAAUUCCAGGUGUAGCGGUGGAAUGCGCAGAUAUCUGGAGGAACACCAGUGGCGAAGGCGGCCUCCUGGACCAUUCCUGACACUCAGACGCGAAAGCUAGGGUAGCAAACGGGAUUAGAUACCCCUGUA